AAGGCAUUUGCCCUGGGCAUUUGGGCGGUGGCGUUUUUUUGCCGCCCCCUGGAAAAUGCCGCCCAAGGCAAAUGCCUUGUUUGUCUCGCGGCUAAAACGCCCGUGAUGCCAUGAUGGGUUAAUUUUCAUUCCUGGGCUGCCAUACGGUCUCAAAGGCAACAUAGGCCCAGCAAAGCAGUCUGGCAAAUUUCAAUGUGCAAACAUGGAAAAGGGGAAAGCCCUACAUUUGAC